rnacentral:rRNA from 1 species
AUUGAACGCUGGCGGCAGGCUUAACACAUGCAAGUCGAGCGGAGAUGAGGUGCUUGCACCUUAUCUUAGCGGCGGACGGGUGAGUAAUGCUUAGGAAUCUGCCUAUUAGUGGGGGACAACAUCUCGAACGGGAUGCUAAUACCGCAUACGUCCUACGGGAGAAAGCAGGGGAUCUUCGGACCUUGCGCUAAUAGAUGAGCCUAAGUCGGAUUAGCUAGUUGGUGGGGUAAAGGCCUACCAAGGCGCCGAUCUGUAGCGGGUCUGAGAGGAUGAUCCACCACACUGGGACUGAGCCACGGCCCAGACUCCUACGGGAGGCAGCAGUGGGGAAUAUUGGACAAUGGGGGGAACCCUGAUCCAGCCAUGCCGCGUGUGUGAAGAAGGCCUUAUGGUCGUAAAGCACUUUAAGCGAGGAGGAGGCUACUUUAGUUAAUACCUAGAGAUAGUGGACGUUACUCGCAGAAUAAGCACCGGCUAACUCUGUGCCAGCCGCCGCAGUAA